rnacentral:rRNA from 1 species
GAGUUUGAACCUGGCUCAGGACGAACGCUGGCGGCGUGCCUAAUACAUGCAAGUCGAGCGAGCUGAACCAGCAGAUUCACUUCGGUGAUGACGCUGGGAACGCGAGCGGCGGAUGGGUGAGUAACACGUGGGUAACCUGCCCUAAAGUCUGGGAUACCACUUGGAAACAGGUGCUAAUACCGGAUAACAACAAUAGCUGCAUGGCUAUUGCUUAAAAGGCGGCGAAAGCUGUCGCUAAAGGAUGGACCCGCGGUGCAUUAGCUAGUUGGUAAGGUAAUGGCUUACCAAGGCGACGAUGCAUAGCCGAGUUGAGAGACUGACCGGCCACAUUGGGACUGAGACACGGCCCAAACUCCUACGGGAGGCAGCAGUAGGGAAUCUUCCACAAUGGGCGAAAGCCUGAUGGAGCAACGCCGCGUGAGUGAAGAAGGUUUUCGGAUCGUAAAGCUCUGUUGUUGGUGAAGAAGGAUAGAGGUAGUAACUGGCCCCUAUUUGACGGUAAUCAACCAGAAAGUCACGGCUAACUACGUGCCAGCAGCCGCGGUAAUACGUAGGUGGCAAGCGUUGUCCGGAUUUAUUGGGCGUAAAGCGAGCGCAGGCGGAAAGAUAAGUCUGAUGUGAAGGCCCCCGGCUUAACCGAGGAAUUGCAUCGGAAACUGUGUUUCUUGAGUGCAGAAGAGGAGAGUGGAACUCCAUGUGUAGCGGUGGAAUGCGUAGAUAUAUGGAAGAACACCAG